UACACCUUGCUUUAAAGUUAAAUCGAAUUCUGCCGAUAAUAAAAUCUGUUAUCAGUUGGUUAGCGUUAACCACGAUUUAAAGCUGCGUUUACAUGGGGCGUAAAUUUGAGAGUGAACCACGCCACGCCACCUUCGUUUGUAUCUCACGACUGAAAAAUGAAAAUCAAACAUUGUUUGAUUCUAUCACGUUUGGGUCGUUGGGCCGAAUGCGUGGUUCACUCGUUCACUCUCGUGAUUCACUCGUGAGUCGUGAUUCAUGUCUCGUGUAAACCUACCUUUAGAAGCAUAGGCGUGGCUUUUCCAUUUUAUAUGCAUGUCUGGGUUUGAGCACGGACUAAGAUAUCUUAGUUCAUGGUUUGAGUAAUUUAACGGCCAAUGAAAUGAGGCGAACUACGACAUCGGCUGGGAAAGGGGGGAUGCGCUAACCGGACUAAAAACUCGUAUUAUUGCUGGUAUACCUUAUCUAUUUUGUCAUGACGCAUUCUACUUUGUGCACUGUCUGGUACUCUAUAGAUACUAGAUAGUAGAUAGUAGAUCCACGCGGGAAGUUAUCCGAGUAUCCAACCUUAUUACACAGAACAAUAUACAUAUUAGUUAUUCCCCAUGGAUAAUUAUAUAUUAUAUUAGUUAAUAGCUAUUAUAUGUUCGUGGUUAAUAGUUAUUACUUAAAUGAAGAUAUAACGUUUAAGAUGGUGCUAAAAAUUUGAAAUUCGAGUGUAAAUUUUUGUCCGUUGUUGUUUAAUACACAGUUUAUGUCCGGUAAUUAUGUAGUUCAGUGAUAGAGUAUGAUAUAACUUAAUAUGUAAUGCAUGUGUGUAUUAAUAUGUAUGAUUGAGUAUUGCAAAUACAUUUUAAAUCAUCCUAGUGAUGCAAGUACCUACUUCAUACAUUUUUAUAGCUUAUGAAAUAAUGAGUCUCUUACAUUAAAUGGAUCACCUGGUAUACAGUAUACCUACUAACAUUCACUCAAAGUUCAUAUUUAGGAAACAACUUAUUUAAACGAAAACACUGAGUUCAGAAGUAUGUAUAUUUAAACAAAAAAAAAAAAUAGG